GAGGGUGUAGCUCAGUGGUAGAGCCUAUGCUUAGCAUGCACAAGGUCCUGGGUUCAAUCCCCACUACCUCCA
rnacentral:tRNA from 1 species